rnacentral:lncRNA from 1 species
AACGGGUUAAUUCAUGUAUAAAUUUAACUUAUCUUAAACUUUUAUAUAUAUAUAUAUAUAGUUAUUAUCUUAAAUGAAUAAACAUAAAAAAAAAUAUUGAUAAAGAAAAUCUAGCGCUUUGAAUUACGGAUCAGGAUCAUAAUAAUUAAAUAAAAAUAAUUUUAAAAUAUAAUAAUAAAAAAUACCAAAUAUAUGUGAUGAUUUAAAAUAAUCAAUUAACUUACAGCAUGAAAACUAUCAAAUUGUUAUAUAUUCAAAUUAUUAUAUAUAAACAUUUAAAUAUAUAAGUAACUUUAUAAAUAUAUUUUAAUUAUGUAAAAUAUAUAUAAAACAUGAAAAUUAGUACCCGCACGGUUGUGCGGGUCCAAAUCUAGUGUUUUAUUAAGACGAAAAAAAAAACAAAAAAGUAACGACAUGCAAGCACAUAAGCACAUGUGUCUUUUCCAUCGACAAAUAAGUUAUUUAACUAUUCUAUCUAUACUAUUAAAAGAGAAACAUUCC